rnacentral:rRNA from 1 species
UACGUAGGGUGCAAGCGUUAAUCGGAAUUACUGGGCGUAAAGCGUGCGCAGGCGGCUUUGCAAGACAGAUGUGAAAUCCCCGGGCUUAACCUGGGAACUGCAUUUGUGACUGCAUCGCUGGAGUGCGGCAGGAGGGGGAUGGAAUUCCGGCGUGUAGCAGUGAAAUGCGUAGAUAUCAGGAGGAACACCGAUGGCGAAGGCAGGUCUCCUGGGCUGACACUGACGUC